AUCUCUUUUAAGAGAUCUCUCCUUGGUGGAGUUUUCUCCUGUGAGCAUUGAUCUUUGGAGAUAGGUUGUUUUAGCUUCCUUUUGCAAGCUUCUGCCACUCUCAGAUGCCAGCAAAGUAGCUUCCUGUUCUGUUCAAAGCAAAAUCAGCAGCAUUAUUUUGAACUUUGAACUGUUGCUUUCCAGCUACAAGAAGGGUCACACUCAGACUCUAUUCCAUCUCGCUAACAACGGGUAUGACUCAGUCUGCAAAGCAUGGGCAGUGUUGGUGACUCAGCCGUGUGACACGUGCUCCAUCAGUCCACCUAGGCGUACAUCAGAAAAGCAGCAAACACAAGUUGUACUGUGGGAAGACAGCUCUUUCAACCUGAUAAAAAUAAAAUGUUCCAACCGACCACUCAUAGAAGGAAGUGAGUUUAUAUAGCUGAACACUUAGGUACCACUCCAGUAACUGUCAGUAUAUUUUGUUUCAUUCCAGCAGGUUCUCAUGCAGUUUGAGAGAGAGCUUAUAUUUCAACGUUAAGGUAUAUUUUCCAAAAACUGAUUCAUAUGAAUCUUGUGGAUAACUGCCUAGUUCUGUCUAUAGCCUCUAAAGAAUGCUUGAUCCUGCUGCCUAAGCCACCGAGCACAUCCAACUGGAUAUCAGAGCACUUUUAUCUUUCUCUGCAGAGCAAAAUACUGCGCAGCAUGUGCUCCUCAUCAGAAAGGACUUAGAAGGAAGAUCCGAAGACAGAGAGUAUUUUAUGCUGUUUAUGAAGCUAUAUAUUUUAUAGCUGAUAUUUUAUACCUGAAGAGAGUAAUCGUACUUUCAGCCCACAGCUAUCAUUCCCAGUACUCUGUGGAGUGAAGCUGUUUCAAGCACUGCCAAUCUCAACCAUGUGUUGAAAGUUCUCUUGAAUACUCACUGACUGCAAGUUGACUAAACUCCUUCUCCUCUGAAUCAUUAAGUAAUAUGGCUUAUGGUGGUAUUUUUCAGUCUUUGCUUUACUUCUGGUAAACAAAUCUAACUUAUUGAGUUAUUUCAUUUGUAGACAGAUCCCAAAGAUCCUAAGAAACAUUCAGCAGGCACAUCAGUUUUCUUCUGAGUGAACAGAGAGGUUCUGCUGGUGUCAUCUGUACCUUACAAACUU